rnacentral:rRNA from 1 species
UACGUAGGGCGCAAGCGUUGUCCGGAAUUAUUGGGCGUAAAGAGCUCGUAGGCGGCCUGUUGCGUCCGCUGUGAAAACCCGGGGCUUAACCCCGGGCUUGCAGUGGAUACGGGCAGGCUGGAGGCAGGCAGGGGGAGAACGGAAUUCCCGGUGUGAGCGGUGAAAUGCGCAGAUAUCGGGAGGAACACCAGUGGCGAAGGCGGGUCUCUGGACAGUUCCUGACGCUGAGGCACGAAGGUCAGGGGAGCAAACCGGG